ACCUUUGUGGCAGAAUCAGAUUCUUCCAGCCCCUGAGGUUCUGGCGAAGAUAUUUGGACGGGGAGAAGCUGCCCAGGACUGCACUCUCAGCCUUAAUCUUGGAUUGGCAGAGCCUGGGAAAGCAUGUGGCCAGGAACUUGAGGACUUGAAGAAUGUGUGUGACCCAGACACUGCCUGGAGCAUCGUCCCCUGGCAGAUUCAGCCCUCUAGGUGAAAAUGCAGGAGACGUUGCUGACAAAAGGUGGCCAGUUCGGCAGCAAGGCAGCACACACGUCUGUGGACUGCUCCUGAGCAAGAUGGGGUAUUUGGGAGAGAGGGGUGCAAUCCAGCCAGCAUUUCCAGGAGAUGUUGGAACAAGCCGCUGACGGACUGCUUUCCCACAUGGAAUGCUGGCCUGGGGAACGAUGCCGUGGCGCUUUCUGGCCGCCUGCUACCCUCGGCUACAAUGGGCCUCCUACACUCUCUUACUUGCGCAUCAAGCCUCUGGCUGCUUGCUGCCAAGUAUUAAGUGCUUGUUCCACAAACCUGGUGUAGAUUAUCACUUUGCCGUAUAGAUGUAUC